UAAUUUGCACCUGAAAUCAAGUAAGAUGACU
rnacentral:rRNA from 1 species